rnacentral:rRNA from 1 species
GACGAACGCUGGCGGCGUGCCUAAUACAUGCAAGUAGAACGCACAGUUUAUACCGUAGCUUGCUACACCAUAGACUGUGAGUUGCGAACGGGUGAGUAACGCGUAGGUAACCUGCCUGGUAGCGGGGGAUAACUAUUGGAAACGAUAGCUAAUACCGCAUAAUAUUGAUUAUUGCAUGAUAAUUGAUUGAAAGAUGCUAUUGCAUCACUACCAGAUGGACCUGCGUUGUAUUAGCUAGUAGGUGAGGUAACGGCUCACCUAGGCGACGAUACAUAGCCGACCUGAGAGGGUGAUCGGCCACACUGGGACUGAGACACGGCCCAGACUCCUACGGGAGGCAGCAGUAGGGAAUCUUCGGCAAUGGACGAAAGUCUGACCGAGCAACGCCGCGUGAGUGAAGAAGGUGUUCGGAUCGUAAAGCUCUGUUGUAAGAGAAGAACGGGUGUGAGAGUGGAAAGUUCACACUGUGACGGUAUCUUACCAGAAAGGGACGGCUAACUACGU